rnacentral:rRNA from 1 species
GACGAACGCUGGCGGCGUGCUUAACACAUGCAAGUCGAGCGGUAAGGCCCUUUCGGGGGUACACGAGCGGCGAACGGGUGAGUAACACGUGGGUGACCUGCCCUCAGCUCUGGGAUAAGCCUGGGAAACUGGGUCUAAUACCGGAUAUGACUCCAUGACGCAUGUUGUGGGGUGGAAAGCCUUGUGCGGCUGAGGAUGGGCCCGCGGCCUAUCAGCUUGUUGGUGGGGUGANGGCCUACCAAGGCGACGACGGGUAGCCGGCCUGAGAGGGCGACCGGCCACACUGGGA